CGACUAUCUGGCAACCCUGUUUGUAACACAAGGAAGAAAUUAGAGCCACACCUUAAUAAUAUUAAUAACAAGCUUCUCACUACCUAGCCAUUGAAGCAUAAUAUAGAAACAUAUUUAUCUGAAAAUACAUUACCAGUCAUGCAUUAAUACUCGUGGGAGAGCCAGUAUGUGACGCUACGCUUUAUCCAAGACUUUGAAGGAGGCGAUUAUUUGAGGCAAAGUUUGGGGGGGGGGAAGUGUUGGAGAUAAGUGUGUGUUUACCAAACCAUCUGGUUUGUGUGGAAGUUGGUUUAACAGUUUAAAUUGCUGUGUGAAAUGGAGGACACAAGGAAGAUGGAGAAAACAGGUAAAAUAUUAAUAAGUAUAAAUUUCUC